rnacentral:rRNA from 1 species
UACAGAGGCCCCAAGCGUUACUGAGAAUCACUGGGUUUAAAGGGUGCGUAGGUGGCGCGUUAAGUUCGUUGUGAAAUCCCUGGGCUCAACCCAGGAAUUGCUUCGAAUACUGGCGUGCUUGAGGCUAGUAGGGGUCACUGGAACUGACGGUGGAGCGGUGAAAUGCAUUGAGAUCGGAAAGAACACCAACGGCGAAAGCACUAUGCUGGGCCGACACUGACACUGAGAGACGAAAGCUAGGGGAGCAAAUGGG